CUUAAAAACAUUAUUAUCACAUACACAAAAACAUUCAAACUAAAUUGUGUUAAAAACAUGCUAGCAACAUGCUAAUUUAUGCCAGCAGCAUGCUAAAUCAUGCUAGAAACAUGCUAAUGCAUGCUAACAGUGUGCUAAAACAUACUAGCAAAAUGCUAAUUCAUGCUAGCAAAGUGUUAAAUCAUGCUAACAAUGUGCUAAAACAUGUUAAUUCAUGUUAACAAUUUCUUUUUCUUUCCACUUCACCAAAUUUAAAGAUUAUAAAGCUUUCAAACCUUCAUAGGGUGCAGAAACUUUCACUUUUCAAGGUGCAGAAUUAAGUGGGAAACCAUCAGGAACCCUUUAUUCUCUGCAACCUGCAACCUACCUGGAGUCUCCAGAAGUGUGAGGUGUCAGGAUCUCAGAGACUUAGGUUAGGCUUUAUAGACAGACAGAUCGAGAGUGGCUCUUGAAGCACCAGCACCAUCCUCUUUUAUCACUGUUUGAAGAAUUUAUCUUCCAAAAUCUGCCAGAGUGAGCAUGAACCCUCGAUCUUUAUUAGUCUCCUGAACAGCAGGACCACACGAUCAUCAUCUAAACAAGACAAAGGAGCAGACAACAUUAUAUAGACAAUACAUAUUGAUUGACUUGGUUUUCUUUACAUUCUCCUGUUUAAUGUUUAAUUCAUAAGUUGAUUUUUAAUGUUUAAAAAAUCUGUACAUUCUCAAAUAUAUUUAUUGCAGUCUCCAGUCUCACAGGGAUUAAACAUUUGGCAUUUCUCAAAAAUUGGACAUACUUUUUCGUUAAAGUAAUUGUAAAUUGUAAAUCUGUAAAACCUGUGAUUCGGCAAUCAAAUUGUGUCUGUUUUCAGUAUCUCUGCAUAUUUUUCCUGGGACUUUGCAUCUAUUUGCGUCUGGCACAUCUGAUGAUUUAAUAAUAGUGAUUGAUGACUAAGCUCUACACUCAAAACCAUUCACUCUUGCUGAAAAAUCAAACUUUGCCCUCAGACAUCACACACAAGCCCUCAAAAAUACACACCCUACAACAUAGUCUUACACACUGGUGAGAUAAAUUCAAAAGAAUACUACAAAAAACAAACACAAAAACCAGUAAUAAGUUGUGUUGCAUUGCAUUGUUCCAAAACUGAAUGAACUGACUCAAGCUCUUUUAUCUGUUUACUGAAGGUUCUGAUUGGUGUAUGGUAAUUUUGACUCUUAGUGUUUCUGUGGGUAACUGUGUGCUAAUUGAGCUCAAGCUACGCUGACUUGAGUGAAAAAUAUUGAAUGCUAGUGUUUUCUAAAUGACCACAUGGUGUAGGCAAUGAGAAAUGAAGGUAUUUGUGUGUACACUCUUAGAAAAAAAAGGUUCUUUGGGGUUCUAUAUAGAACCAUAGGGUUCUUUAACCAACUUUAUAGAACCCUUUCUGCCUAAAAGGUUCUAUAUAAGGAGAAAGAACCCUUUUGGCACAAAGGGUUCUUUGGGCUAAAUGUGCUUUAUAUACAUUAUUAGUGCUUUAUUUAAAUGAUUACACUAUUUAACAUUAUAUUUGUGUUUUUACUUCAAUUUUUACUUAGGCACACCUUUCAUUCUGAAUAAAACAAACUUACAUUUUCAAGUUUAAUAGGUUUAUUAGAAAAAAUAAUUUCCGCAUUAUCCUGUAAUGAAAAAAAAAAAAUCUAAAUUAAAUAUAGCCUACGUUGUUUCUGGAUCUAGGCGUUAGGGGCAGAAUUCUGCCAUCUGCUGAUAAAAGAAAAUCCUGUAGGAAUUAUUCUGAAAGUCAAUUCUUAUAACUCAACCCUCCAAACAGAUCCAUUAAACGAUCUUCGACAUAAACAGCAAAUAACUUGCAUGUGUAUGCGCUGAUCAGUUCUGUACUGUCUGCACGCGCAGUGUCGGACUUCAGCCGCGCGCUUCGUGCGCGAGUAAUUAGAAUGCGCGUGAACGCAGCAUUUUAAACUUCAACCGUUACGGACGUCCGUUUGAGCUCAGCGCUCGAGAGGACGACGAUUAAAUUGGUAAGUGAGAAAAUUAAUAUCUCUUACGUUAUUUUAAUUACAUUUGCCUAAAUCCUUGAUAUAUUUACACACCUUAACUGUUACGUUACAUGUUUUUUUUCAAGAAGCAAAAAGAACAAAUGUGGUUUACGGUGCUGUCCGGGCCUGCGUUAUUCUCCGCCAGGAGAUUAUAAAGCUUUCAAACCUUCAUAGGGUGCAGAAACUUUCACUUUUCAAGGUGCAGAAUUAAGUGGGAAACCAUCAGGAACCCUUUAGUCUCUGCAACCUGCAACCUACCUGGAGUCUCCAGAAGUGUGAGGUGUCAGGAUCUCAGAGACUUAGGUUAGGCUUUAUAGACAGACAGAUCGAGAGUGGCUCUUGAAGCACCAGCACCAUCCUCUUUUAUCACUGCUUGAAGAAUUUAUCUUCCAAAAUCUGCCAAAGCAAAAAGAACAAAUGUGGUUUACGGUGCUGUCCGGGCCUGCGUUAUUCUCCGCCAGGAGAUUGUAUUGGACCUAGAAAACGCAUAAGAAAACGAUGUUUCAGGAGCAGUCAAAUCACGUGAUCACAGCCAGACCGCAAGAGAAACCCCGAAGAACAAAGAGAGGAGCUGAUGAUGUUUCUUCUGUAGAUAUAGCUGGAUGGACUCUGGAGUGCAGCAUUACUUCAAUAAGAUGAAAAUAACACACUCCUCUAUGAUUCACGAUGUCAAGCCCCCUGAACGCAAAGAGAGUCUGCAUCAAAAUGGACGUGCCCCUGAUUGAAAACACAGAGAUGUCAAAAGUAUCUGUUGGCUGUCUACUUUUUGUUUAAUAUGGAGCAUCCAAAAGCCAUUUUCUUUCAUUCAGCACUAUUUAGCCCUUCUCAGUACUGAAUUUGCCAUGGGUCAUUUGUUUUUAUUGUUUAAAUGCUUAUCUGAAUGUUAAAUUAUCAUUUAACGCUUAUGAAUUUAAAAACAAUUCUACUAGCUAGUCUUUUAGUUCAUUUUUUUAGAAACAUUUAUGUUAACUCUUCUAACUAUUGCUCUAUGAAUUGCUGUGUGUUUUAUGUUGCUUGUGUCAUUGUAAAUGCUAAUAAAAAUGUCUUAAAUGA